UACGUAGGGUGCGAGCGUUAAUCGGAAUUACUGGGCGUAAAGCGUGCGCAGGCGGUUUUGUAAGCCAGAUGUGAAAUCCCCGGGCUCAACCUGGGAAUGGCAUUUGGGACUGCAAGGCUUGAGUGCGGCAGAGGAGACUGGAAUUCCUGGUGUAGCAGUGAAAUGCGUAGAUAUCAGGAGGAAUACCGAUGGCGAAGGCAGGUCUCUGGGCUGACACUUACGCUGAGACGCGAAAGCGUGGGGAGCAAACAGG
rnacentral:rRNA from 1 species